GACGAACGCUGGCGGCGUGCUUAACACAUGCAAGUCGAACGAAGUGGCGAACGGGUGAGUAACGCGUAAUCAACCUGCCCUUCAGAGGGGGAUAACAGUUGGAAACGACUGCUAAUACCGCAUACGGAAGGAGGAGAUUGCGUCUGAUUGGCUAGUUGGAGGGGUAACGGCCAACCAAGGCGAGCUUCAGGAGGCGGUCUGAGAGGAUGAACGGUCAAAUUGGGACGGAGACAAGGCCCAGAAUCCUACGGGAGGCAGCAGUUGGGAAUCUUCCGAAAUGGACGAAAGUCUGACGGAGCAACGCCGCGGGAGUGAUGAAGGGUUUCGGGUUGUAAAGCUUUGUUAAUCGGGACGCGGUACCGGAAUAGAAAGCCACGGCUAACUACGUGCCAGCAGCCGCGGUAAUAC
rnacentral:rRNA from 1 species